GGAAGUCCCCGUUGAAGGGUGUAGGCGUUGAGGAUGGCAGGCAAAUCCACCGUCCGAGCUGAACUUGAGAGUAUGGAGUCUUCUUCGGAAGAAUCCAAUAGUGUGGGUAAUCAUACUCCCGAGAAAAUCCGCUAAGCUUAACCCAUGCGGCACCCGUACCGCAAACGGACACACGUGGUCGGGUAGAACAUACUGAGGCGUUGAGAGAUUCAUGGUUAAGGAACUAGGCAAAUUGACCCUGUAACUUCGGGAUAAAGGGUCCUCGUGAAUAGCGAGGCGCAGAGAAUAGGUCCAGGCAACUGUUUAACAAAAACACAGGGCCGUGCAAACUCGAAAGAUGACGUAUACAGCCUGACACCCGCCCGGUGCCGGAAGGUUAAGAGGAGAUGUCACUCGCAAGAGGAAGCAUUGAAUUGAAGCCCCGGUAAACGGCGGCCGUAACAAUAACGGUCCUAAGGUAGCGAAAUUCCUUGUCGGGUAAGUUCCGACCUGCACGAAUGGUGUAAUGAUCCGGACGCUGUCUCAACCAUGAGCUCAGUGAAAUUGUAGUAUCGGUGAAGAUGCCGAUUACCCGCGAUGGGACGAAAAGACCCCGUGAACCUUUACUACAGCUUAGCAUUGACCUUGGUCAUCCGAUGUGUAGGAUAGGCCGGAGGCUUCGAAGCGGGAGCGCCAGCUUUCGUGGAGCCAUCCUUGAAAUACGGCCCUUUGGCUGUCUGAGGUCUAACGCGCGAUGCGCGGACACUGCUUGGUGGGUAGUUUGACUGGGGUGGUCGCCUCCAAAAGCGUAACGGAGGCUUCCAAAGGUGCCCUCGGGUCGAUUGGUAACCGACCUCAAAGAGUGCAAUGGCAUAAGGGCGCUUGACUGGGAGGCAGACAUGCCGAGCAGGCAGGAAACUGGGGCAUAGUGAUCCGGCGGAUGUGUAUGGAAACUCCGUCGCUCAAAGGAUAAAAGGUACUCCGGGGAUAACAGGCUGAUCCCCCCCAAGAGCUCAUAUCGACGGGGUGGUUUGGCACCUUGAUGUCGGCUCGUCACAUCCUGGGGCUGGAGAAGGUCCCAAGGGUUGGGCUGUUCGCCCAUUAAAGUGGCACGCGAGCUGGGUUCAGAACGUCGUGAGACAGUUCGGUCUCUAUCUAUCGUGGGCGUGGGAGUUUUGCGUGGUGCCGUCACUAGUACGAGAGGACCGUGAUGGACAGACCUCCGGUUUACCAGUUGUGCCGCCAGGCGCACCGCUGGGUAUCUGAGUCUGGAUUGGAUAAGCGCUGAAAGCAUCUAAGUGCGAAGCCAGCCGCAAGAUGAGAACUCCAUUGAGGGUCGUCAGAGACGAUGACGUUGAUAGGAUGCAGGUGUAAAGACAGCGAUGUCAAAGCCGAGCAUUACUAAUUGCCC
rnacentral:rRNA from 1 species